rnacentral:rRNA from 1 species
GUACACGCUGUGACUAGCAUAUCAAUAAGCGGAGGAAAAGAAACUAACAAGGAUUCCCCUAGUAACGGCGAGUGAAGCGGGAAGAGCUCAAAUUUGAAAUCUUAAAGGGUUUCCCUUUACGAAUUGUAGUUUAAAGAAGUGUUUUCUGCUGAGGUUUUGGUAAAAGUUCUUUGGAAUAGGACAUCAUAGAGGGUGAGAAUCCCGUAUUUGACCUUUACUUUCAACUUUGUGAUACACUUUCAAAGAGUCGGAUUGUUUGGGAAUGCAGUCCAAAAUGGGUGGUAAAUUUCAUCUAAAGCUAAAUAUUGGCGAGAGACCGAUAGCGAACAAGUACCGUGAGGGAAAGAUGAAAAGAACUUUGAAAAGAGAGUUAAACAGUACGUGAAAUUGUCAAAAGGGAAGCGUUUGACACCAGUGUUGUUUUUCUGAAAAUCAAUUAAAGAACUGUUUAUGCUAAGUUGUUUAGACUUUAUCAGCUAUCUGUUUAGUUUUGAGCUUUUCUUUAAUGCACUUUUCAGUUAACAAGUCAACAUCAAUUUCUUUUGCUGUAAAAAAGCUUGAGGAAGGUGGCUUGAGAUUCGUCUUAAGUGUUUAUAGCCUCUUGCCUAUGCAGUCGGAGAGAUUGAGGUCUGCAGCGUAGAUCCUUCGGGGCUAAAUGCAUUUGUGCUAAGUUAUAGCAUUUUAUAGACAACUUGUUGACUAUGAUUUGUCUUGUAGCUUACUCGCUUAUGUUAUUUUACCUACGCUUAGGAUGUUGAAGUCAUCGUAUCGCGC